GAUGAACGCUGGCGGCGUGCCUAAUACAUGCAAGUCGAGCGAACGGACGAGAAGCUUGCUUCUCUGAUGUUAGCGGCGGACGGGUGAGUAACACGUGGAUAACCUACCUAUAUGACUGGGAUAACUUCGGGAAACCGGAGCUAAUACCGGAUAAUAUUUUGAACAGCAUGGUUGAAAAGUGAAAGACGGUCUUGCUGUCACUUAUAGAUGGAUCCGCGCUGCAUUAGCUAGUUGGUAAGGUAACGGCUUACCAAGGCAACGAUGCAUAGCCGACCUGAGAGGGUGUUGGCCCACACUGGAACUGAGCCACGGUCCAGACUCCUACGGGAGCAAGAAGAAGGGAACCUUCCGCAAUGGGCGAAAGCCUGACGGAGAAACGCCGAGUGAGUGAUGAUGGUCUUCGGAUCUUAAAACUCUGUUAUUAGGGAAGAACAUAUGUGUAAGUAAAUGUGCACAUAUUGACGGUACCUAAUCAGAAAGCCACGGCUAACUACGUG
rnacentral:rRNA from 1 species